rnacentral:lncRNA from 1 species
CGGAUGUCUCCUAGAGAGAAAGGGAUGGGAGAGUCCUCUGUGGAGUGGCUUCUGUUCCCUACAUCCCAGAGAGGCUCAGCUUUUCUGGCCGAUGGAGUGCAGUUUUAUUUGUUUGAGAAUAUGUUUUGUUUUCUUCCUUUUUCUCGUUCUUGCCUACCCUCAAAACAUGGGAAGAAAAGCUGUCUGACUCAAACAGCCAGCAGUCUGGUCCGGGUCCCCUAAGAUGGAGAGGCGCCAUUUCCCAGCAGGCCAAGAAAUGCCCCGGGAGCUCCAAGGGUUCUGUGGGUCCCGGGAUGAGAGGCUGACACAGCCAAGAAGACCCAGGGUGAGGCUGAGCGGAGGCUGAGGCGGCAUACCUGGCCGCCCACACUGCCAUCCGUCCUAGCGCUCUGUGCAGAGCACGGCUGAAAACUCCCCAAAUAUCUUUGGAAAUGAAGAACACUGGGUUGGCACCCGGCAAUUUGGGACAGCAGUUUUUCUGGAGCGCACAGCUUGGGAAUAUGCCUGAAGAAAUCUUUCAUUCCUAGAGCGUUGGUGGAUAAAUGGUACUUAUUUGUUUAACCUCAAAUCAAGCCGCAGCCCCCAUUUCUGGGGCUGCUUUGCGAGGGUUGUUUUAAAAUAGCUGAACAAGCUGAAAAUCAUGGGUCUAGGUUGCUGGAAUGGCUUUGCAGAGAGCAGCCGGACUUAGGAAGUUCUUUAAGUUUCCAUAGAAUGUGACUGGCAGUGGUUGGGGGUUGGGGUCGGGGGUAGGGGGAGGGAGGUGAGCUGUCAGAGAGGAGCAAAGCGUGGGCCCUUCUUCUAGAAGGGUCUGUAUUGGCUGAACAAUCUCUGCAGUGGAUUCAACCUGGUCUGGUCCCCUUGGGGGUUUGGGGUGGGGUGUUAUCCUGGAGGACUCCUUCCUGAGGUCUGCUGCAGGUGGCUUUGAAUUCAGCAGAGUGAAGUUCCUCGGUUAUUCCUGUCUGACUGGGGUCAAUUUCCUCUUUUAUUAACGGAACAGCUCUUUCCUCUGGAGAACCUAUUUCAUGGAUUUAGGUAGGACUGACUCGGUAGUGUACAUAACCGUUUAAUGGCCAGCUGGGGGCAGGCGGAGGGGACAGGGAGGAAAGCCUUGAUUUGUAGCAUUUGCCAAUUUCCAUGGUGUAAAUACUCCCCCACUACCAGCUUCAAGCUACAGACAUAACAUCACUGAGACGUCACUGACCUUGGACUCGGGAACAGAUGAGCACACCCAGCUCUCACAAACACAUCCCCGGUGCUGAUUUUACCCCAUCCAGGGCUGGGCACAUGACCCAAAGCUGCCCUGUGGGAGUUCCUCAGGGCCAUCAGAGGAGACUGCUCCUUUUCUUAGGCAUCGCUAAAUAGAAUGUUAGUUGGGGGCUGCCAGCAGCCAUCUUGCCAGCUCUAGAGAGAGAAUUUGGUUGAGAGGGGGAGAAAGGGCACCCAUGACAUCCUCUGAACCCCUGAAGCCAGCCAUACCUGAAGCUGGUGUAUUCCUGGACUUUCCAACUACACACAUCUCUAGCCCCUCUUCUUUGCCUAAGUAGUGUGGGCUGAGUUUCUGCCACCUGCCAAUAAAAUGCCAAGAAUAAAACAAAUGGGUCACCCAUUCAAGGAAGCCAACCUAAUAGAUCUGGCUUUAUCUUGAUUGUGGUGGUUUCCCAGGCAUAUGCAACUGGUAACAUUCACUAAGUUGUACACUUUCCGUUACUGCAGCUUCUUGUAAGUAAAUUCUAGCUCAAUAAAACUGUUAAACAUAUAAAAAACA